rnacentral:rRNA from 1 species
UACGUAGGGGGCAAGCGUUGUCCGGAAUCAUUGGGCGUAAAGAGCGUGUAGGCGGCCCGGUAAGUCCGCUGUGAAAGUCCAGGGCUCAACCCUGGGAUGCCGGUGGAUACUGUCGGGCUCGAGUCCGGAAGAGGAGUGUGGAAUUCCUGGUGUAGCGGUGAAAUGCGCAGAUAUCAGGAGGAACACCAAUGGCGAAGGCAGCACUCUGGGACGUGACUGACGCUGAGACGCGAAAGCGUGGGGAGCAACAGG